rnacentral:misc_RNA from 1 species
GUCGAAGAGAGGUUCAAAUUUCUGGUUAUGGGGAAGACUAAAGGAGGUUGGGGAGGCAACCUUCGGGUUCAUGUCUUUUGUCCGGCGACUAAGGAGAAGAGGGAUGUUAUCAUUCUCAUUGCAGAGAGAUGGAAGCUCUCAGUCCAAGCAGCGGGAUGGGAGCCGAAGCGGUUUCUAGUAGUUCAUGUCACACCCAAGUCCAAGACCCCGGCUCGGAUCCUUGGACCCAAGUCUGG